CACGGAGGGUGCAAGCGUUAUUCGGGCUCACGGGGCGUAAAGCGCGCGUAGGCGGUCUCUUAAGUCAGAUGUGAAAGCCCGGGGCUCAACCCCGGAAGUGCAUUUGAAACUAAGGGACUUGAGUAUGGGAGAGGGAAGUGGAAUUCCUGGUGUAGCGGUGAAAUGCGUAGAUAUCAGGAGGAACACCGGUGGCGAUGGCGACUUCCUGGACCAAUACUGACGCUGAGGCGCGAAGGCGUGGGGAGCAAACAGG
rnacentral:rRNA from 1 species